rnacentral:rRNA from 1 species
GAUGAACGCUGGCGGCGUGCCUAACACAUGCAAGUCGAACGAAGCACUUUUACCAGAUUCUUCGGAAGAAGGUGACUGUGACUGAGUGGCGGACGGGUGAGUAACGCGUGGGUAACCUGCCUCAUACAGGGGGAUAACAGUUAGAAAUGACUGCUAAUACCGCAUAAGACCACGGAGUCGCAUGACUCAGUGGGAAAAACUCCGGUGGUAUGAGAUGGACCCGCGUCUGAUUAGGUAGUUGGUGGGGUAACGGCCCACCAAGCCGACGAUCAGUAGCCGACCUGAGAGGGUGACCGGCCACAUUGGGACUGAGACACGGCCCAA